UACGUAGGGGGCUAGCGUUGUCCGGAAUCAUUGGGCGUAAAGCGCGUGUAGGCGGUCCGGUAAGUCCGCUGUGAAAGUCGGGGGGCUCAACCCUCGGAUGCCGGUGGAUACUGUCGGGCUUGAGUACGGAAGAGGCGAGUGGAAUUCCUGGUGUAGCGGUGAAAUGCGCAGAUAUCAGGAGGAACACCGAUUGCGAAGGCAGCUCGCUGGGACGUUACUGACGCUGAGACGCGAAAGCGUGGGGGAGCAAACAGG
rnacentral:rRNA from 1 species